rnacentral:lncRNA from 1 species
AAAUAAAGAUAUGUUAGGUCACUAAGAGCAGAAUGUGGGACGUGUAAGGAAACAAAAAACAAAUCAUAUUAAGGGAAUAAGUGGAAGAGAGAUAUUGGUGGAAGAAGGAUGAUUAUUCAUCUUGUGAAUUUUUCUGGAACUUAAUAAUGAUUUUUACCCGCUUUGAACUUUGAGAGAGUGUUUUGAUUGUUGUUCAGGGCUUCCCUUGGCCUAGGGUUUGAUUUAUAGUUGCCAACUAGCUAAGCUGCUAGGAACCUAUCUAAUGGGAUAAGGCUUAUGGGUAAGGAUGCAGUUUAAUAAUGAAGAAAGGCUUAUGAGUGUACCCCUAUCACCCCUCCUAUGAGAAAGCCCUAAAGAGUAAUAGAUCUCCUAAUCCAUCCUUAGGGCUUAUGCAUGCAUGACAAAAAUAAAAGAAAUUGAAAAGAAGAGAGGGAGAGAAGGGGAGGAAGAGGAGAAAGGGAUAUAGGUGCUUGAUUUUUUUUUGAAGUUCCUUCUUUCUUCCUUGUCAAGUGGCUAGUGGAGGGUUAGGGUUAGGGUUUCGAUAGGGCCAGGAGAAGGAAGUUGGUUAGGGAGAUGGCUAUGGUUUGGAGAGGUUCAAGAGACUAGAGUUUUCCUAGAUUUUCCAAAUUCUAGCCUAGUUUCAAUGGAUUUCUUCCAUUUCUAUCAUUUCUUGUUGGAUUUUGGGAGAGGGAAAGGGAUAUUUAUAGGGAAAGGUGAGGGAUCCUCGGACUGGGAAUUUAAUAAGGGGUGAGGUUGUCCUAUAUAUAAGGGCUAUGAAAGAGAGGCCGAGUGGCUUAAUUCUAUUAGCUAAAUUGGUUUGAGGGGAGAUUAGUAAGGUGAUACCGAUGGAGAAUUGAGAUGAUGGGAGUGUGUGUUUCCUUAGGUUGUUUUUUUUGG